rnacentral:rRNA from 1 species
ACGCUCGACACCUACGGAGGCAGCAGUGGGGAAUAUUGCACAAUGGGGGAAACCCUGAUGCAGCGACGCCGCGUGAAGGAAGAAGUAUCUCGGUAUGUAAACUUCUAUCAGCAGGGAAGAAAAUGACGGUACCUGACUAAGAAGCCCCGGCUAACUACGUACCAGCAGCCGCGGUAAUCUGAGCGGGCUGGCAAGGC